rnacentral:lncRNA from 1 species
AUCGCAAGGACACGAGAUUAGGAAGAUCGCCAAGUGCUUGUGGAAUUUCCCCACUCAAAUCGUUCUCCAUCAAACUCAAGUCCGUCAAUUCCUUCAGAUUAUACAAAUCCGACGGAAUCGUUCCGGUAAGUUCAUUCUCAGACAAAUCAAGCUCUUCCAACGCUUCUAAUUUCCCCAAACUUCUAGGAAUUUCCCCACUGAUUCGAUUCUUGAAUAGAAGCAGAUUCUGAAGGUUCGUCAUGUUCCCAAUGUCUUGUGGCAGAGUCCCAGAGAGAUUCGCUUCGGCAAUAUCCAAGUAUUUCAGAUUCAACAGCAAAGGAAAUUUCGACGGAAUCCCA